rnacentral:rRNA from 1 species
CACAGGGAUUGCCUUAGUAACGGCGAGUGAAGCGGCAAAAGCUCAAAUUUGAAAUCUAGCACUUUCAGUGUUCGAGUUGUAAUUUGAAGAAGGUAACUUUGGAAUUGGCUCUUGUCUAUGUUCCUUGGAACAGGACGUCACAGAGGGUGAGAAUCCCGUGCGAUGAGAUGUCCAAUUCUAUGUAAAGUGCUUUCGAAGAGUCGAGUUGUUUGGGAAUGCAGCUCUAAGUGGGUGGUAAAUUCCAUCUAAAGCUAAAUAUUGGCGAGAGACCGAUAGCGAACAAGUACAGUGAUGGAAAGAUGAAAAGAACUUUGAAAAGAGAGUGAAAAAGUACGUGAAAUUGUUGAAAGGGAAGGGCUUGAGAUCAGACUUGGUAUUUUGUGUUCCUUAUUCUUUUUGGAUUUGGUUCCUCACAGCUUACCGGGCCAGCAUCGGUUUGGAUGGUAGGAUAAUGACAUUGGAAUGUAGCUUUGCUUCGGUGAAGUGUUAUAGACUUUGUUGAUACUGCCUAUCUAGACCGAGGACUGCGUCUUUGACUAGGAUGCUGGCGUAAUGAUCUUAAGCCGCCCGUCUUGAACACCGGACCAA